rnacentral:rRNA from 1 species
GUGGGGAAUAUUGGGCAAUGGGCGAAAGCCUGACCCAGCAACGCCGCGUGAAGGAAGAAGGUCUUCGGAUCGUAAACUUCUAUCCUUGGUGAAGAUAAUGACGGUAGCCGAGAAGGAAGCCCCGGCUAACUACGUGCCAGCAGCCGCGGUAAUACGUAGGGGGCAAGCGUUGUCCGGAAUGAUUGGGCGUAAAGGGCGCGUAGGCGGCCUGGUAAGUCUGGAGUGAAAGUCCUGCUUUUAAGGUGGGAAUUGCUUUGGAUACUGUCGGGCUUGAGUGCAGGAGAGGUAAGUGGAAUUCCCGGUGUAGCGGUGAAAUGCGUAGAGAUCGGGAGGAACACCAGUGGCGAAGGCGACUUACUGGACUGUGUCUGACGCUGAGAUGCGAAAGCCAGGGUAGCGAACGGGAUUAGAAACCCUAGUAGUCC